GCGGGGCCUGGCGCGUCCGCCGAGCGCGGGGGUUUGUUUAUUUUCCCGGUUGGUAGCGGCGCUGGCGCUGGUUAGAGGUUCGCCGGUGACGUGAGCGCCCGAGUUGGGGGAGAGGACCAGAACCACCUGCUGGAGAAAGGGAGCUACGGGGGCCGGGCAGGGUCCAAACGCCUCACGUGGGCGGCGGCGCCACGGUCUUCGGGGUCACAGGGAAGAGAAGGGCUCUCCUCAAGCGGGUGGAAGGAGGGAGGCCUCCCGAGGGAAUGAGACUCCAGGCCACUCCCCCGCAGCAAGGCAGGAUCACCUGCGUCGCGGAGAGCAGUUAGAGGUCCCUGGAGUGGAAAAGGGCAGUGGGACCUGGUAGCUUGGGUUCCCUGCAACUUGGGGUUCGACCUCCAGGCAAUGAAGUAGGGAUGGUCCUGCAAGUCAAGAUUCCAGUAGCAAGAGUGCAUCAGAUCUCUGUAAGGAAAAUAACUAACAUUGCUCAGUUCCCUGUAGAGUUGCAGGGCGCUUUGACGUUAUCUCCCUUGGUUCUCCAUCAGGUCGUAGUGGACUAAUUUUACAGGCGAAGUUAAGUGACUUACCCAAAACCUCACAGCUAAUAAACGGCAGAGCCGGCACCCAGCUGUACUGGCUUCCAGCGCAUCCCAUUAUCUCCAUAAAUCCCCCUGAUUCAACUAAUAUUAGACGCCCCACAGAGUCUCGCUGCUCAAAACGUGGUCAGUGGCCCAGCAGCACUGACAUGAGGACCUUAGUUGGAAACUCAGAAUCUCAGGCUCCACCCCAGACCUGCUGAACCAGCAUCUUCAACUUAACAAGAACCCGAAGAGAUUUGUGCCACAUCAAAAAGUUUGAGAAGCUCUGAUCUAGGUGAGCCAAGCCAGCAAAGAAAGGGGGUGGAGCAGAAAAUGGGAGGAGAAUAGGGUAAUGCAGAAUCAUCAAGACAAGGUAAAUUGGACUUUCACAAAAACGGGGCUGGAAGGAGUGUUGCUCAACAAUAUCCAAAACCACAGAGGUUGAAAAGCACAAGGAAAGAAGGUAUGUUUGCACUUUGUGAUUAGGUAGUAGGGUCUUUAAGACCACAUUGUUCUCAUUGAAAGCCUGGGAAGAAAGAUCCCCUUUCUGGUCAAGGUUAGUCUAGGGAUCCAUCCCCUCUUCCCCAGUUCCCACGUAUAUGGGACAUGUCGAGAUAAGUAGAUAGAUUGGACAGUGGGAGAAAGUAGUUCUCUUCCAGUUGCUUCUAUUUUCUCAGCAAAGUGAGGAACAAGAUCAUUUUGGCAGACUGCUAAUUGUCCAUCAUAAUUUAGUCUCCCCUUCUCCCUGAAAACACAGACUGCUUUUCUCAGCCUCUCUUUCAGUUGCAUAUGGUCAAGUAUUAAGUUAUAGAACAUGAGCAGAUGUUAUGUCUGCCACUGUCAGGCCAAGGCGUUUACUUUGAGAGUACUUGUGCCUCUUUCAUACAUUUUCCUUUCUGCCAGCUGGACCCUGGACACGGUGACUCUGAUUCAAUUAUGCAGAUGACCACAAGCCUCUGGGGUUGGCAGAGCCACAAGAAAGAAGGUGCCUGGAUGAAGGAGAGCUACCCACUGACCUGGACACCCAAUUAUGUCAUAGGUGCUGCAAUCUAGAGACAAAAUAUUCCUUACACUGCCAGAUACUUGCAAACUAAGGGGAACGAGCUUCCCUCUGAAUGUUUAUGAAGGAGAGACCACUGUGUCAUCUGUCUUAGAGCUAUUGGAAUCCUGGAUCAUUGUGGGAAAUGAAAAGAACUGGUUUUUAGCAAGGAGACCAAGAAACUCUACUCCCUAGGGGCUAGCAAUGAGAGAAAGGAAGCCUUGAGUCUUUGAGCACAGGGUGACAGUUUGGGUCCUAUGUGAGAUGAUCAAAUCCACAGCAACAGAGGAAAGGACAAAAGGAAAAGAUACUUCGAUGGAAUCAGCAGCCAUUGAUCCAAUGCCAACUCCAAGACUGGAACGUCGCAAUGAUAGUUCCAAGGCGGAAAUUUGAC
rnacentral:lncRNA from 1 species